rnacentral:rRNA from 1 species
UUUUAACGGCUGCGGUAUUUUGACCGUGCUAAGGUAGCAUAAUCAAUUGUUUUUUAAUUGAAAGCUAGUAUGAACGGUUUAAUUUACUUAAUUAGUUUGUAAUUUUUAAUAGUAAGUUAAAUAUAAAGUAAGAAUUCUUUAAUAAAUUAGGGGACGAUAAGACCCUAAAAGCUUUAUGAUUGGCAUUUAAUUGGUGAUAGCGGUGUUAUUAAUUCACUGGGGCAGUGAGUUUAGGUAUAUUUAAGUAUAAUUAAAAGCUCCUUUAAAUAAAGAUUUCAUGUAUAAGUUACUUUAGGGAUAACAGUGCAAUAUAUU